rnacentral:rRNA from 1 species
AAUGAACGCUGGCGGCGGGCCUAAAACAUGCAAGUCGAGCGCCCUAGCAAUAGGGAGCGGCGCACGGGUGAGUAACACGUGGGAAUAUGCCUUUUGGUACGGAACAACGUUUGGAAACGAACGCUAAUGCCGUAUGGUCCCUUCGGGGUAAAGAUUUAUCGCCAAAAGAUUAGCCCGCGUUGGAUUAGCUAGUUGGUAGGGUAAUGGCCUACCAAGGCGACGAUCCAUAGCUGGUCUGAGAGGACGAUCAGCCACACUGGGACUGAGACACGGCCCAGACUCCUACGGGAGGCAGCAGUUAGGAAUAUUGGACAAUGGGCGCAAGCCUGAUCCAGCCAUGCCGCGUGAGUGAUGAAGGCCUUCGGGUUGUAAAGCUCUUUAGCCGAUGAUUAUAAUGACUGUAGUCGGAAAAUAAGCCCCGGCUAACUUCGUGCCAGCAGCCGCAGUAA